rnacentral:rRNA from 1 species
UACGAAGGGAGCUAGCGUUGUUCGGAAUCACUGGGCGUAAAGCGCACGUAGGCGGAUGUGUCAGUCAGGGGUGAAAUCCCGGAGCUCAACUUCGGAACUGCCUUUGAUACAGCACGUCUUGAGUCCGGAAGAGGUGGGUGGAAUUCCUAGUGUAGAGGUGAAAUUCGUAGAUAUUAGGAAGAACACCGGUGGCGAAGGCGGCCCACUGGUCCGGUACUGACGCUGAGGAGCGAAAGCGUGGGGAGCAAACGGG